UCCGAGAUCCGUCGAACUGGGAUC
rnacentral:miRNA from 1 species